UACGUAGGGGGCAAGCGUUGUCCGGAAUCAUUGGGCGUAAAGCGCGCGUAGGCGGCCCGGUAAGUCCGUUGUGAAAGUCAAAGGCUCAACCUUUGAACGCCGAUGGAUACUGCCGGGCUAGAGUCCGGAAGAGGCGAGUAGAAUUCCUGGUGUAGCGGUGAAAUGCGUAGAUAUCAGGAGGAAUACCGGUGGUGUAGACGGCUCUCUGGACCGCGACUGACGCUGAGACACGAAAGCGUGGGUAGCAAACAGG
rnacentral:rRNA from 1 species